ACCACUGGGCCCUGCUUGAGUUGUUGAAAUAACUUGGAGCAUAGAUCUAAACUGGGAUUAUAACAAGCAAAUGGAGAAACCAUCCAGUUGACGCUUUGGUUGCAUAAUGGAGGUACCCAUCUGCCCAUCACCUGCUCAGAUACGCUGCUACAGGGAGACGCGAACAGCCAACCCCCACUUUCUUGAAGUGACAGAGGGCAGAGAAGAAGGGAAGCCUGAACGGCUCAAGUCCAGUGGCUGAAGAAACAACAUAGAAGAGCAAAGAAUGAAGCUGUCACCUUUCAGGACAGUAAACUAGAUAGAAACGCAGAGAUUUUGACGUCACUUGCUGCUACCUUUCUUCGAAAGAAAGAGCAUGGAGAAAGACUGAGACUAUUAAAGUAACUGGAGCCUACAAAGCAGAGCGUCUCAUCUGGAUUCCCAAGAAGUGCACAGGUUUUCCGUGAACUGGCUCAAUGAUGCUCAGACACGGGUCAGUGUGGGGUGGUGCUGUGGUGUUAAGGAGAACGGGUAUCUCAGAGUGGAGAGGAGGCUGUUAGAAGAGUGUCAUACUUUGGAAACAUUUGUUUAGUCAGGGCAUCACUUUCUCUCUGAAGAGUUGGGAAGAGAUGUGUAUUUUUGUAUGGAGGAGGGCCAGAGAAAGAAGAACGGAAAGAGAGUGAGUGGAUAAGGAUACAGAAAGUGCCGUGGAGAAUGUCUGCUACCUUGCAUUCAGCCACUGAUGUUCUGCUAAAAGCACACGGCUUAUGAGCACAUUUAAAAUGUGGUUGUCCCUCUCGUCCCGAGUACCUAUCCCCUGUUGGAAUAUUUCCUGGGCUCCGUCCUAACACGCAGGGCAUUUUCAUGCCCCUGGCUCUGCUCACGGCCUCUGCCGCACCUCCUCCUCUCUGACAAGCUUUUAUAUUCCUACAGUAACAAAGGUGGCGGUAACUUUCCCAUGAGAUGAUUCAGCUGUUGUAAGAGGAUUUGGCUCUCUUGCACUUGGAGAAGUCCACAUAAUUCAUCUAAAUCCGCUUAGAUUUCCCUUUUAGGCUAUUGCCCUGUUCCACCAGGCAGAAAAGAAUGUGACCUUUGUCCGCAGGAGAGCCACAAGCAAGGGACGCAGUGGCAACUUCCGCUGGCAAGUGGGCUCCUGUCCGCUUAGGGGGAAAUACGGGACAGCCUCGCAGA